AGAGUUUGAUCCUGGCUCAGGACGAACGCUGGCGGCGUGCUUAACACAUGCAAGUCGAACGGUGAAGCCCUUCGGGGUGGAUCAGUGGCGAACGGGUGAGUAACACGUGGGUAAUCUGCCCUGCAUUCUGGGACAAGCCUUGGAAACGAGGUCUAAUACCGGAUACGACGCAUCUCCGCAUGGGGUGUGCGUGGAAAGCUCUGGCGAUGCAGGAUGAACCCGCGGCCUAUCAGCUUGUUGGUGGGGUGAUGGCCUACCAAGGCGACGACGGGUAGCCGGCCUGAGAGGGCGACCGGCCACACUGGGACUGAGACACGGCCCAGACUCCUACGGGAGGCAGCAGUGGGGAAUAUUGCACAAUGGGCGAAAGCCUGAUGCAGCGACGCCGCGUGAGGGAUGACGGCCUUCGGGUUGUAAACCUCUUUCAGCAGGGAAGAAGCGCGAGUGACGGUACCUGCAGAAGAAGCACCGGCUAACUACGUGCCAGCAGCCGCGGUAAUACGUAGGGUGCGAGCGUUGUCCGGAAUUAUUGGGCGUAAAGAGCUCGUAGGCGGCUUGUCGCGUCGGAUGUGAAAGCCCGGGGCUUAACUCCGGGUCUGCAUUCGAUACGGGCAGGCUAGAGUGUGGUAGGGGAGAUCGGAAUUCCUGGUGUAGCGGUGAAAUGCGCAGAUAUCAGGAGGAACACCGGUGGCGAAGGCGGAUCUCUGGGCCAUUACUGACGCUGAGGAGCGAAAGCGUGGGGAGCGAACAGGAUUAGAUACCCUGGUAGUCCACGCCGUAAACGUUGGGAACUAGGUGUGGGUCACAUUCCACGUGGUCCGCGCCGCAGCUAACGCAUUAAGUUCCCCGCCUGGGGAGUACGGCCGCAAGGCUAAAACUCAAAGGAAUUGACGG
rnacentral:rRNA from 1 species